rnacentral:rRNA from 1 species
CACGUAGGGCGCGAGCGUUGUCCGGAAUUAUUGGGCGUAAAGAGCUCGUAGGCGGCCUGUUGCGUCCGCUGUGAAAGCCCGGGGCUUAACCCCGGGUCGGCAGUGGAUACGGGCAGGCUAGAGGUAGGUAGGGGAGAAUGGAAUUCCCGGUGUAGCGGUGAAAUGCGCAGAUAUCGGGAGGAACACCGGUGGCGAAGGCGGUUCUCUGGGCCUUACCUGACGCUGAGGAGCGAAAGCGUGGGGAGCGA